AAGACACUUGUCCUCUCCUUCAACUCUCUGUUGAAAGAGAAAAGUAAAGAAAACACACCAAGAUAGCUCAUCCAAUUUUUGUGACUUGUUUAAUCUAAUUAAUUAUAUAAGUAGUAACGGCAGCUAAAAUCCAAAUCAACUUUAGCUUCAUAAGAAUUGUUAUAGGCCAGGCGCAGUGGCUCACGCCUGUAAUCCCAGCACUUUGGGGGGUCAAGGCAGGAAGAUCAUUUGAGCCCAGGCAUUCAAGACCAGCCUGGGCAACAUAGUGAGACUCCAUCUUGUAUAAUUAUUAAAAAUAAAUAAAUAAAAAUUUUAAAAUAAUUGUUAUGACACAGUGGCUCACACCUGUAAUCCCAACAUUUUGAGAGGCCAAGGCAGGAGGAUUACUCGAGCCCAGAAGUUCUAGACCAGCCAUGGCAACAUAGUAAGACCCUGUCUCCACAAAAAAGUUUUAAAAAUAAGCCAGGUGUGGUGAUGCAUGCCUGUAACCGCUGCUACUCAGGAGGCUGAGGUGAGAGGAUCACUUGAGCCUGAGAAGUCAAGACUACAGUGAGCCAUGGUCGCACCACUACACUACUGCCUGGGCAACAGAAUGAGACCCCGUGUCAAACACACACACACACACACACACACACACACACACAAACUGUUAUACUGGCUGGGGGCAAUGGCUCACACCUGUAAUCCUUGGACUUUGGGAGGCAGAGGUGGGAGGCUUGCUUGAGCCCAAGAGUUCAAGGCCAGCCUGGGCAAGAUGGGAGACCCCAUCUCUACAAAAAAUUUAAAAAUUAGUCAGGCGUGGUGGCACUUGCCUAUAGUCCCAGCUACUCUGGAGGCUGAGGAGGGAGAACUGCUUGAGCCCAGGAGGUUAAGGCUGCAAUAAACCGUGAUCCUGCCACUGCACUCCAGCCUGGGCAGCAGAGCGAGACCCCGUCUCAAACAAAACAAAACAAAAGAAGAAUUGUUAUUUAAAGUUAAAACUCACUAUCUGUCGAGUUCCUAAUUCUUUUUCCACCUUACAACUAUUCUCCAAAACAAUGCAUUUGUAGUCACCAGAAUUGCUUGAAUUUCUGGGUUAUAAAAUGUGUGAAUACUCCCCAUCCCAAUUUCUUGAAUUUAAGAAUGCCACUUCUGGCCAAGCGCGGUGGCUCAUGCCUGUGAUCCCAACACUUUCGGAGGUGGAGGCAGGUGGAUCACGAGGUCAGUAGAUCGAGACCAUCCUGGCCAACAUAAUGAAACCCCAUCUCUACUAAAAAUACAAAAAUUAGCUAGGCGCAGUGGCACGUGCCUAUAGUCCCAGCUACUCGGGAGGCUGUGGCAGGAGAAUCAUUUGAACCUGGGAGGCAGAGGUUGCAGUGAGCCGAGAUCCC
rnacentral:lncRNA from 1 species